rnacentral:lncRNA from 1 species
CAUGGCUCGUAGUUGAAGUUUUAGAGCUUAUUGACUGUGGGAAACAGAACGUACAGGACAGUGCCAACCAGAUUAGUACAAAUGACAACAAACAGGGUUAGAUAUGAACAGAAUGCAGGGAAUAUUAUAAUAUUUCUUGAAAUUUUCUUUUGGGUUUUAUUUUAUACUUCUUUUAUUUAAAUAGGUCCUACACAAAGUACACUGACAGACUUUUGGAGGAUGAUUUGGCAAUUAAAAUGUAAUACUAUAAUCGCAUUAAACGAUACGAUUACUGCAGGAAAGGUAUGUUGUAAGAAAUAAAUAUUUUAGCUAUAAUUUUAUUGAAAUGAUAUCAUGUCUAUCGGGGAGCUUUUACAACAGAAACAUUCCUGGUUAAAUUACCUUUAUACAUAUAUGUAUGGAUGUAUAUAUUAUGCAUGCACACAUAAACACAAACACGCAUACACAUUUAUAUAAGCAUGCAUACAUACUCGCAAACACACACACACACAUAUAUAUAUUUAAAUGUAUAUAUAUAUAUAUAUAUAUAUAUAUAUAUAUAUAUAUAUAUGUGUGUGUGUGUGUGUGUAUGUGUGUGUAUGUGUUUGUGUGUGUGUGUGAUGCGCUUACGGCUUGAAUUUCGAAGAAAUUUCUGUAUAAAAUAUGAGAGUUCCAGUUUGAUCCCACUGCUUGCUAUAUUUGAUCAAGCUUCUUUGCCUUAGUCUCGAGUCGAUCCAACGUUGUGAGGGAACUUUUUCAGACGGACAUUAUUUAGAAGUGUAGGGGAUGGAGUGCACUUGUAAUUAACAUGUCUAACAUUGGUCAACUGUUGUUACACAGUGUCAAGUUGAUUUCUACCUCAUAAUUUUAUGUCAAAGUGCUUAUGCCUGUGGUCUUAUAAUGUAUAAAUCUCUUCUCCUUUAUACAUCUUUUCAGCUUGCUCCUCUGCUACAAAUGGUUGUAUUAGAUUAUGUUGCAGAUUACUGACCUCACUGGGUGAUAGUGAUCUUGCCGUAACUCGUUGAAAUCGGAUUCACAACUCCCCAGCAGACAACCAGUAGAGGGAAUGUAGAUGUUAAGUUUUCAUUGCUCGUCUUUAAGCAGUACAUACAUAAAUAAAUACACAAAGAUGUUCGACUCUUGUAACAUACCGUCCUUUCAAAAAUGUAUGGAGAUAGACAUGUGUAUAAAGUUGUAUACAUAAAUAUAGACAUCCAAUGUUACAAUAUAUACAAAUACGGCAGAAGUAAUCGAUCAAAACAUAAGAUAGUAGGUUUAAAUUCCUUAAAACUUUGGCAAGUCUUGUGAUUACGAUGUUAUAUUUUAUUGGGAAGAAUAGAAUUUUCCAGUAGCUUUGAAAUCUAUUAAAGAAACAAUAAUGGAAAGCUAAAGAAGCAAACGAAGUGUGACGUUACUGUUUGAAUGUUUAGCAGUGUUGAUGGGAUAAGUCUGACGUCGAUAAAGAGGAAGAGUUUGUGUUUGUUAUAGCUCUAUAUAUUAGUUCUUUGAUAAGAAAAAUACAGUACAGAUGUAUUGUACCGUAAAACUGCGAUAGGACGUCUCACUAUUGAACGAUAGAUUAUGAGUAAGAAGAACCAGGUAUGCAUUGCAAUAAAGUUUCAUUGUAAUUUUGUUGGAGAUUUUAUAAAACUCAUGAUUAUUAGGGAUGUCUCUGGAUCGUAAAUUUUAAAAGAUUUUAACAAUCAGUAUUUUUUUUUAGAAGUAAUGAAUGACAGACUAAAUCAUAAGAUUAUUCCUUUUAUACUUUUGGUUCGUAAUUUUGUGGGUAAUGUGUGAGUGAGUACUUAAUCUGAUCAGUAAAUCAUCUUUGGUUAACAGUAUUAUUUGGAUAUGAGUGUAGUAUCACUGAAAAUAUGCUUGCUACAAGAUAUGAAGUAUAUCCUUAAGGAAUGUAUUAUGGACAAGAAUAUAGGAAAUAAUUUUGUGGAAAUUGGACAAUUUAUGCAUAACUUUUCAUUUAUAUACAUAAUCAUAUAUGUCUGUGUAACCAUAAGUUUCAGAAAAAAGUAUAAAAACUAGAUUAUUCACUACCUUAAGAUGCUAUCCUAUUGAUAUGUUAAACCGUUAAUACAUUUAGAAUGUAUGGAGACUUCUCCUGAAUCACACUGGUGAUAGUGUGUUCAUACUUUACAGAUUCUCAAGAAUUUAGUUUUAGGAUUAUAGAGAAUCUAGACGCUAACGAUAGAUAUACAUAUGCAUAAACAUGAAUAACUGAAUAACUAUACAUACAUAGACACGUACGUACAUAUAUGCAUGUAUAUAUACGUAUAUAUGUUUGUGUAUAUAUAUAUAUAUAUAUAUAUAUAUAUAUAUAAAUACAGGGUGAUUCAAAAGUCGCCAUACAUAGGAACAAUUUAUCUUUUUAUAAAAAACAGUUUAUAAUAAAAGAUUUUAUUUUAUUAACAGGCUGUAUAUGGUUACCGUUGUUUUGAAUUUUUGAAUAUACAUUGCAAUACGUUUUCCCACUCACUGUGAACUCGUAAUAGCACAUUUGGUGAUACGUGUGCAAAUGAGUUGGUGAUACGUUCCUUCAAAUGAUUUAUGUCUUUUAUCUUGCCGCGAUACACCAUGCCUUUCAAAUGCCCCCAAAGAUAGAAAUCAAAAGGGGUCAGAUCAGGGAAUCUAGGGGAUCUUGUAAACUUACUUAUAAAAAGAUAAAUUUUUCCUAUGUACAGAGACUUUUGAAUCACCCUGUAUAAUAUAAAAGUAUGAAUCAAAGUUAGGCAAAUCAAGUUCAUAUAUACAUAUAUUCAGCAAUAGACCCAACAUAAAUGCAUUUCUUUAAGAGUAUAUUUAAUUCAUUAGACAUAUUAAAAUUAUAUAGGUAUAUAAAUAUAAUGAAACUAUAAAGAGUAAUCAAUACAUUAAAAAUAUGCAUAUAAAAAUAUAUAAAUAUAUUAAUAUGCAUUAAUAAUAUAUUGAAAAAACAAUUACAUGUAUAAAUCUUCUUAUAGAUUAUAAAACAAAAUCAUAAAGAGUUAAAAGUCUAAAGAAGAAAGUUUGGAUAUUAAUAAUCCAGUCAAUAAUCAAAUGGCCUGUUUCUGGAGAUCCGGUUAUCUAUUCAUAUAAAAAAAUAUUUAUAUCUAUUAUUGGACACCUCCUCCUUCAUGAGGUAAAAAUAAAUCUCUAAAGAGAUACACAUAUACUGUGUGUUCAUGAAAACGCAGUUUAUGUGAGCCACUUUAGAAACUUAAUAAUAGAUAUUUAUUAGUUGUAAUUAUUUAAACCUGUUUAGAUCCCCUACAUAUUAGAAAUCAACAUUUGCCCAGAGCUCCCAUCUACUCUUAAAUAUGGCAUAUAUUAAAGGGUUCAGGACACACUUUAAACAGACCUUUUCCUACAUUAAUGAUCACUUCGUCAUAUUUAAUUGUUCACACACAACACUUUACACUCAAGUACUUUCCACAUUUCAAUUCUUAUAUAAGGACCACAUACGCAAUACAGUUACUAAAAAUUCAAUAAAUUUGCUUAUUUUCAAUAAUUUGAAAUGUUUGAUUAUAGAAUGGACAUACUCUUUAUUUUGGUUUAAUUAUGAACAUAUUAAAGAAGUAUAUAUUUUGCAGAUGAAGUGUAUGCAGUAUUGGCCAGAUGAAGAGAAUAAUGAGUCAUUUGGAACAAUCCAAAUUUCACAUAUCAAGACUAUGUAUCAUUCAACGUAUAUACACCGAAGUUUUACUAUUUCGAAG